rnacentral:rRNA from 1 species
UACAGAGGUCCCAAGCGUUGUCCGGAUUUAUUGGGCGUAAAGAGCUCGUAGGCGGCUUGUCGCGUCGACUGUGAAAUCCCGCGGCUCAACUGCGGGUCUGCAGUCGAUACGGGCAGGCUAGAGUUCGGUAGGGGAGACUGGAAUUCCUGGUGUAGCGGUGAAAUGCGCAGAUAUCAGGAGGAACACCGGUGGCGAAGGCGGGUCUCUGGGCCGAUACUGACGCUGAGGAGCGAAAGCGUGGGGAGCGAACAGG